GGCGCACGGGUGAGUAACGCGUAUGUAACCUGCCCAUCAGCGAGGGAUAGCCCAGAGAAAUUUGGAUUAAUACCUCAUAACAUCAAUUUGUGGCCUCACAGAUUGAUCAAAACUCCGGUGCUGAUGGAUGGGCAUGCGUGUCAUUAGCUAGUUGGUAGGGUAAAGGCCUACCAAGGCAACGAUGGCUAGGGGGUCUGAGAGGAUGGUCCCCCACACUGGUACUGAGACACGGACCAGACUCCUACGGGAGGCAGCAGUGAGGAAUAUUGCGCAAUGGGCGAAAGCCUGACGCAGCCAUCCCGCGUGCAGGAUUGACGGCCCUAAGGGUUGUAAACUGCUUUUCUGCAAGAAGAAAGAUGUCUACGUGUAGAUGUUUGCCGGUAUUGCAGGAAAAAGCAUCGGCUAACUCCGUGCCAGCAGCCGCGGUAAUACGGAGGAUGCGAGCGUUAUCCGGAAUCACUGGGUUUAAAGGGUGCGCAAGCUGAAUAGUAAGUCAGAGGUGAAAAUCCAUAGCUUAAACUGUGGACUUGCCUUUGAUACUGUUAAUCCUGAAUGCAGUUGAAGUUGGCGGAAUAUAGCAAGUUACCGGUGAAAUUGCAUAGAUAUGCCUAAUAAGAACACCGAUUGCAAAGGAACUCCCUAAGCUGUUAACUGACCUAAGGACAAAACCUUGGUAACAAACAGGAUUAGAUACCCUGGUAAUCCAAGGUUUAACGAUGA
rnacentral:rRNA from 1 species